GAGUGCGCCAAGCACAGCCCCGGGGCUGUGUCCAGGCAGAGUCCGGAACAAGAGCGAAGGGCGAUGCUCGGGAGGCCGCCCGCAGGAGGCAGAGGGCACUGUUGUUCAGCCAAUCAAGUUGACGGUAUCGGUUUGGAACCCAGCCCCCCGGGCUCCCGGAGCGCACCCAUCUCAACUCUUGCACGCUCCCAGGGAGAAGGAUUUAGGAAUUUGAAAUGGAGCUGCCCAGGGUCCCACAAGAAUAAAGCCGUGACUUUUUGUGCAAGGCGGUCACCAGCAAAACAGAAAACUCUGUGUACUUAAGGCAAGGAUGAGUUUCUUUUUUCUUUCUUUCUUUUUUUUUUAAGAUUUUAUUUAUUUAUUUGAGAGAGAGAGAAUGAGAGAUACAGAGCACGAGAGGGAAGAGGGUCAGAGGGAGAAGCAGACUCCCU
rnacentral:lncRNA from 1 species